GACGAACGCCGGCGGCGUGCCUAAUACAUGCAAGUAGAACGCUGAAGGAGGAGCUUGCUCUUCUGGAUGAGUUGCGAACGGGUGAGUAACGCGUAGGUAACCUGCCUGGUAGCGGGGGAUAACUAUUGGAAACGAUAGCUAAUACCGCAUAACAGUAGAUGUUGCAUGACAUUUACUUAAAAGGUGCAAUUGCAUCACUACCAGAUGGACCUGCGUUGUAUUAGCUAGUUGGUGGGGUAACGGCUCACCAAGGCGACGAUACAUAGCCGACCUGAGAGGGUGAUCGGCCACACUGGGACUGAGACACGGCCCAGACUCCUACGGGAGGCAGCAGUAGGGAAUCUUCGGCAAUGGACGGAAGUCUGACCGAGCAACGCCGCGUGAGUGAAGAAGGUUUUCGGAUCGUAAAGCUCUGUUGUAAGAGAAGAACGAGUGUGAGAGUGGAAAGUUCACACUGUGACGGUAUCUUACCAGAAAGGGACGGCUAACUACGUG
rnacentral:rRNA from 1 species